UACGUAGGCAGCGAGCGUUGUUCGGAGUUACUGGGCGUAAAGAGUGCGUAGGCGGUCAGCCAAGUUUGGUGUGAAAUCUCCCGGCUCAACUGGGAGGGUGCGCCGAAAACUGGCUGGCUAGAGUAUGGGAGAGGAAAGCGGAAUUCCUGGUGUAGCGGUGAAAUGCGUAGAUAUCAGGAGGAACACCUGUGGUGUAGACAGCUUUCUGGACCAUCACUGACGCUGAGGCACGAAAGCGUGGGUAGCAAACAGG
rnacentral:rRNA from 1 species